rnacentral:tRNA from 1 species
GCGCCUAUAGCUCAGUUGGUAGAGCAGUGACUCUUAAUCACUGGGUCAGGGGUUCGAGUCCCUGUGGCGCA